AUGGGUAGGUUUCCAACCAUAGGGGGAACGAGCUCAGUUCAACAACACCUUCAUUUUUACGCUGUGAUGUGGUCCACGCUGGAGUGUGGGUCGAAGGAUAUGGCGCUUCAUUCGUUCAUUUGCUUGUGCUUUCAACAGACAAGUGUUAGGCACCUUCAUGAGCCAGGCUGUGAGCCGAGGAUACAGAGAUUGACAGGACAUCCCAAUGGGGAGAGGGAGAUGGACCCACGGACAGAUUAUCUUAUUAUAAGAAACUUCCUCCCCGACAUGUAGAAGGGAGCCACGAAAUAAGCGGCCACGUGGGCUUCAGGGAUAAGAAGUGAGUCCCUUGAUGCAGGAGUGCCGUUAGCCCACAUGGUGCCUUUGUGCCAAUUAAGGAAAGACUCCUUUUCUCGAGAUACUUCACUUCCAUCUGUCAAAAACUUGUCCUGAUUUUGUUUGGACAAACCGCAUUAUUUUCGUCUGCCAGGAAAUUGUCAUAACAACGGUAGAACUCUACAGAGGAUAUGUGAAUGGCAUCCUCUUAGAUAUGAGCUCACGUGCAGUACACAACUUGCACAGCUGUACAUAUGGGGCUCUGUCUAAGUGGGCCCAGGGGUCCAGGUUGGAGGUGGGAGCAUGUCCUGGACCGACCAAAGAGUCACGAAUGACAUUGCACACUCUGGCUCGCUUCCCUCUAUGAACCCACAUUGUGUAGCUUCUUAUGAAGGGAAUCAUAUUUUUAUGUUGCCCUGAAGCCUGGUCUAAUUACUCUAAACAGAUUCCAUUUAUGAUGUGUAGCCCUGAAUUUCAUAGCUCAAAUGGACUAUGUGAGAUCAAGGCUGGUACACCAGCCUCACGAGGGGACCAGAAGGGGGGAUCAUCUACAUAAGGAAGACAGCGGGUAUUGGACAAAGCAUGGAAUGAAUAGGGAGACAGUAACACACCUCACAUGCUUCUGGCUGAAGGAGAAAACCAAAGACAUCUAGUUCUUAACAAGUCCACAACUCAUGGUUUCCCCAAGCUGUUCUAGAAAUUACCUUGGCAUCAGUAAACCCUAACA
rnacentral:lncRNA from 1 species